CUUAAAACCUAGAGAGAUCAUCAGACCCUCUUCUUCCAAAAAAAAAAAUGGAGCGCCGUGUCCACCCAAAAACAAACCAGACCCCUCACUUCUUCGACUGAGCAGCGACCCUUCUUCUUCUUCUUCUCUUUCAAUCUCACUGACCUCUCACCCUCCAUCCUUGCACAUCACACGCACGAAAAGGGGAAAGAAAACAUGCUCAAAUUCUGAAUUUCAGAUCCAAAACGAUCCUAAACUCCCAAAACAGAGACGAAAUCCAUAAAAUAAAAAAAAAUUCAAUUAAAGUUGGUUUUGAAUUCAUUCGACUGUUGCAUAUCUUUGGGCCUUUAAAGCUAUUCUGAGUUGAAGAGGUUGAUUGUUUUCUGCUAUUCUUCCUUCUGCUUUUGUUGCCGUUACCACUGAUUUCGGUGUUUGGAGUUGCUUGGAUUUCGAAAGUGUUGUUGAAUGCUGAAACUUCUGCUGGGUUCCGAUUUGAAGCAUUUCGCUCUUAUUUGGCUUUCGGCAUGUUAUCGCACAUUUUCAUGAAUCAAUGGCUGAACUCCAAAAUUUCUGCCAUUCGGAUUUUUCUUUGAUUUUGGAUCUUUUAGUCGCUGUCAAGGUAUGAGUUCGUCACCACUUCGAGGCUAUACAAUGAGGUGCAUAACUUGGUGUAGAGAGAAAAUCAUGAACUCAAAGAUCCCGGAUGCCGAUGUUGUGUUCGAUGGUUGCUGGAUUUGAAGGCAUGCAUGCACCCCUAUUGUAGCUGCCUUUUGUUCAUGGUAGCCUUAAAAUUAUAAAACUCUGUUUAUGUAUUUUUCAAAUAGAUGAUGUAUUUACUUCAUGUCAGCUUUGUAAACUCUAUUCUUAGAAGCUCAUGAUUUGUAUUACCAGUCCUUGAGAAAUGUAAAAGAUUCAGAAAAUUCCUUCGCUUAAUUGUUUAAUUAAUAUUAUUGAAAUUGAAUAGUUAA